rnacentral:sRNA from 1 species
GCCAGGCACGGUGACGCCUGCCUGUAAUCCCAGUGGCUGGGGAGGCUGAGGCAGGAGGAUCUUGAGUUCAAAGCCAACCUCGGAAAUUUAGUGAGGUGCCAAGCAACUCAGUGAAACCCUGUCUCUA